CCCUUAGAUGUUCUGAGCCGCACGCGCGCUACACUGAUGCAUUCAACGAGUCUAAAACCUGCUCUGAUAGGGGUGGGUAAUCUUUUGAAUGUGCAUCGUGAUUGGGAUAGAUGAUUGCAAUUUUUCAUCUUCAACGAGGAAUGCCUAGUAAACGCAAGUCAUCAGCUUGCAUUGAUUACGUCCCUGCCCUUUGUACACACCGCCCGUCGCUCCUACCGAUUGAAUGAUCCGAUGAAUAUCAUGGAUUGAGGAUGCAAGCAGGUUCGCCUGUCUUCAUCUUCGAGAAGUGAAGUAAAUCUUAUCAUUUAGAGGAAGGAGAAGUCGUAACA
rnacentral:rRNA from 1 species